rnacentral:tRNA from 1 species
CUCCGAUUAGCUCAAGUAGGUAGAGCGCGUGCUUUGGGAGCAUGAGGUUGCAGGUUCGAGGCCUGUGUUGGAGACCA